rnacentral:rRNA from 1 species
UCAGACGAUGCGUCAUGCAUAUCAAUAAGCGGAGGAAAAGAAACUAACAAGGAUUCCCUCAGUAACGGCGAGUGAAGCGGGAAGAGCUCAAAUUUGAAAUCUUGAAAGGUCACCUUUCACGAAUUGUAGUUUAAAGAAGUGUUUUCUGUUACGAUCGUAAUAUAAGUUCUUUGGAAUAGGACAUCACAGAGGGUGAGAAUCCCGUAUUUGACCUUUACUUUCAACUUUGUGAUACACUUUCAAAGAGUCGGAUUGUUUGGGAAUGCAGUCCAAAAUGGGUGGUAAAUUUCAUCUAAAGCUAAAUAUUGGCGAGAGACCGAUAGCGAACAAGUACCGUGAGGGAAAGAUGAAAAGAACUUUGAAAAGAGAGUUAAACAGUACGUGAAAUUGUCAAAAGGGAAGCGUUUGACACCAGUGUUGUUUUUCUGAAAAUCAAUUAAAGAACUGUUUAUGCUAAGCUGUUUAGACUUUAUCAGCUAUCUGCUUAGUUUUGAGCUUUUCUUUAAUGCACUUUUCAGUUAACAAGUCAACAUCAAUUUCUUUUGCUGUAAAAAGGCUUGAGGAGGGUGGCUUGAGAUUCGUCUUAAGUGUUUAUAGCCUCUUGCCUAUGCAGUCGGAGAGAUUGAGGUCUGCAGCGUAGAUCCUUCGGGGCUAAAUGCAUUUGUGCUAAGUUAUAGCAUUUUAUAGACAACUUGUUGACUAUGAUUUGUCUUGUAGCUUACUCGCUUAUGUUAUUUUACCUACGCUUAGGAUGUUGACUGAUAUGUAGUCGUA